GAUGAACGCUGGCGGCGUGCCUAAUACAUGCAAGUCGAGCGAACAGAUAAGGAGCUUGCUCCUUUGACGUUAGCGGCGGACGGGUGAGUAACACGUGGGUAACCUACCUAUAAGACUGGGAUAACUUCGGGAAACCGGAGCUAAUACCGGAUAACAUUUGGAACCGCAUGGUUCUAAAGUGAAAGAUGGUUUUGCUAUCACUUAUAGAUGGACCCGCGCCGUAUUAGCUAGUAGGUAAGGUAACGGCUUACCAAGGCAACGAUACGUAGCCGACCUGAGAGGGUGAUCGGCCACACUGGAACUGAGACACGGUCCAGACUCCUACGGGAGGCAGCAGUAGGGAAUCUUCCGCAAUGGGCGAAAGCCUGACGGAGCAACGCCGCGUGAGUGAUGAAGGGUUUCGGCUCGUAAAACUCUGUUAUUAGGGAAGAACAAACGUGUAAGUAACUGUGCACGUCUUGACGGUACCUAAUCAGAAAGCCACGGCUAACUACGUG
rnacentral:rRNA from 1 species